rnacentral:sRNA from 1 species
GCUGGGUGCGGUGGUGUACACUUGUUAUCCCAGCACUUGGGAGGCUGAGAUGGGAGACUCUCGAGUUCAAAGCCAGACUCAGCAAUGUCAAGGUGCUAAGCAGCUCAGUGAGACCCUGUCUCUA